UCAUUAUUAAGAAAAUGAAUCUGUAAGCCACAGAUUAGGAGAAAAUAUUACCAGGACAUUUAUGUGACAAAUAUAGAUAUCCAGAAUAUGCAAAUCAAAAGCAAGAAAUUAUCAAACCAACAGGUUCUGCGAGAGCCUACUAAAUUUAGAUGGAAACAGGUACUGACAAUAGUCCUAUGGUACCCUGGAGCCAGCCCUAGGGCCCAGGGGAGAGUUUCUAAGCAAGACUAUCCUUUCCCGGACAACGGCAUCUUAGGACACGAUUCAGUCACUCUUCUAGUUCCGUUUAUUCACCAAAAUAUGAUUACUAAAAUCUUACCAGAGAACAUUUGCAAGCCAACUUGUAAGACCAUAUUUUCAUGCAAUAGCCAGUUUAACUAAACUGUCUGAGUUUUACAACUACAGAAAAGCCGGAAGGAUUUGGGAAGCUGCUCCAAAAGAUUCCUGAAAAUCCUAUGUGUGAGUGGGUAAUCAGGGCUGUGGUUAUUAUAAUUUAAUAAAAGAUAAAUAUAGAAAUUUAUCAGAGUCUACGAAUCUCAGAAGGAAACAUUUACACAGUUUCUUUUCUCAAGGAACCAAACUUUAGAGAAUUAGAUGGUGAGUCCACUCAGAAGAUUUAUAUGAAUGUUUGAAUUUCUGCCCUCUGCAAUUUUCUGAGGGUGAAAGUAGAAUGCAUUAUGGUGAACUAAGAGGGUUAUUUUAAUGCUAUAAAUGAACACGUUAGCUAAUCAAGCAUUGUGCACUGGUGAGAAGAGUUUAAAUUCUAAGGUCUCAAUCAAAGUAUUGGAAAGCUGUUACCUCUCAGAUUACAGCCAAAAGAGCGCCAUUUUUUCCCUCAUCAUUAAAGCGGUAUUUGCAUAUUGUAGAGAUUUUGGAAGGUCUUAAAAUAACAGAAGUAAAAAAACUACGUAUAAUUCUACAUUCAGUUUUUCUUACUCAUGUCAUAGUUGAGAUCAUUUCAUAUCUUGCUCUUUUUCUCCUAGCAUUUUAUUAUAAGCAUUCCUCUAUAUUUAAAAUUCUCUGCAAACUAUUUUUCCUGAACUAUUUCUUUUAUGGUGGAUAUUCAAAUUGUUUCUAGUUUUUCUUUCUUUAUGGAAUGAUGAGUAAUGCUGUAAGGAAGAUCUCUGUGCAUUGUUUUUUAAAUCGAUUUCAGAACCUAUUCUUAGAAUUCUACCCAAAAUUCUAUGUUACUGUGUCAAUGAAUAUGAAAAAUUUAAAGGAUCUUGACAUCCCAUCAGACUGAUUUCCAAAACCUUUGUAUCCUUUUAUGAGUAUCCUAAGAGUACUUUUUCCACCAUACCGUUAACAGCACUGCAGGUAUUCUCAGUUUAGAAUCUAUGCCAAUUUAGUACGUGAGAAAUACUCUCUUUGAAUCUACUCUUCAGAAAUUGGUAACUUUAGUUAAUUUUUACUUACUUUAGUGGCUCAUUUCCCAACUUGGAAUAUAUUCAUUCCAAGUUUUAAAAAGUGCUUUUCUACAGUGUUGUUGUCCCCUCCGGUUAUCCUUCCUUCUCUUUCUUAUUAACGCUCCACUGUCCUCCUCCCAAUUAUGAAGGUCGCUUAAGAUUCCACUCAGAAUGUCCACCAGACAUUGAUGAGACUGCUGGAGAGCCUUGUGGGGGAGGGAUGGCUACAAGAGAUCGCUUUUAGGUCUAUUCAUCAGAAAUUUGUCGAAGGCUGAUUUGAAACAUUCCUAUGGCAAGGACUGAAUACUCUCCAUUUGCUAAAAUCAUCAAAAUAGCCUUAAUCUGAAUCCUGAUGGCAUGUGACUUGGGCUUCAGCUCCAUAUCACUUCUCAUGAAGUGAUCGAAUUCCUGACGAUUGCCUGGGCAUGGUUAGAAGACAAGGCACUCCGUAUUCCCAGAGGCAUGCUUCUUCUCUCUAUAUCUUUUGGCAGACUGCUAGACCAUUCUUAAGCAUCCAAAUCUUGGGAAUACAAAAACAUCAGUUUCUUCUUCCCUGGAAAACCAUUAUCCUCUCAGGUCUCUACAGUACAAGAAGAAUAACUUAAGAACAGGGCAGGUCACACUGGCUCAUGUGACCAAUUACUGGUAGCCAUUUGACAAUAGGAUUUUCUUGUUUUAAUGAAAAAGAUACACUGGGGAAAGUAACAUGGGAAAAGCAAAUGGAUAAAGAGAGACAGAGUCACAGAGAGAGAAACAGAAAGAGAGAAUAGAAAGCCACAGAAGAAGAUAGACAGACACAGAAGGAGACAAUCAGACACAGUGAGAAACACAGAUUGUAUCUAUGUGUCUCAGUGCGUGUAUGUGUGUGUGUGUGCGUGUGCGCGUGAGAGAGUGAGAGUGAGCAAAAGAGAAAGAGAGAGAUAGAGAAACACUAAUAUGUAACAGGGGAUUUGACACUAAAUAUGCAGUGCUGAUGUCCCAAAAUAUACCUUUGCCUGCAAGGCUCCUGCAGGUUCAUUUCAGCACUUGGAAAGGCUGACCUGAUUUGCAUGGUCUCUCAGAGGCUUCCCGACGUCCCUGUCCAUGAGUCUGUCCCCUUGUAGAUGAUUGCCUCCAGGCAGAGAGCUGCACCUGGGCAAUAGGAGAGGACACGAGGCAUAAGACUACUGAGCCGACGAUUCCAUGAGAUGAUUCUAGCAUAAGUAAGUAACCGGCAAACUAGAAUUCAAAGUGAGGGAGCAAAAUCUACAGGUAGGAUAUAAAACACACCAUUUACAGGUUUUUUUUAGAUAAUUAGAAAGCCUUAGGGAAUCUUAGGAAACAGUGACUAAUUACUAAGGAGGAAUUACGAUCUUUCAGACAAUGACAGAGCCCAGAAGGCUUGAAAGUUGUUCCUUGGCAGACGGUGUCCCUAAGUUCCUCCACCAAGAAAGUCCUAUUUGUCAGCCUCUUCAGAUUUAAAGAUGAGACACUUGCUAUAAAAGGACCCCAAAGAAGAAAAUGACUUCAGAUAUUGUCACUGAGCUUGUGGGUUGCUGUUUCCGGAAGAGCAGGUGGGCAGCAUACUCUGUGAAGUGCUGAUGGUCCCUUCUCAAGAGAAACACCUGGAAAAAGUAGCAGUGGUUUUAGAGCAGAGAGAGAAAGCAAGCUUUUCUGGGAUGAUAUCAUCAGUUAUUUAUAGUUGGAUAUAUUUGUCUUCUUCCGUAUAGGAUUAGGAGCUGAAGGCCCUCAUGUACAGCAGAAGGAAGAGAGAUUAAACGACUUGUUUUCUCCUUUGGAGGAGCACGGACCCUAUCUUUUGACUGCAGGAAUCGCCCACUGAUUCAUGCCCAGUCAUCCUGGUUGGAGACUUUUCCAAGCCACACUGGUUGAGCUGUAACCAAGGAUGUCUGUAACCUGGCAGGCUUGUUAACAGAAGGACGUCUUUCAAGGUCAUCCUAACAUCAAAUCCGUCUUGUCUCAGGGUGGCAGAAUCCUACUAGGUUGGUAUGCCAGUGUGUGAAGCCAGACCAAGGACGGUAGAAAGGCUGACCAGAACAUGGGAGCUAGCAAAUGAGUCUGAUCGCCUGAGUUUUUUGUUGUGGAGUUUCACUGAGGCUCCCAUUGCCAAAGAUGCUUCUUUGAAUGAUUCCAGACCACGGCACUCUCCACAGCUGCACUACCAUACAUGGGGUCGCCUUGCCAGAAUGGAAGUGUCAUCGUAUUGUUAUUACUUCUUCGUUUUCCUUUCAGAAAGAAUAAAAAAGGCACUUUUGACUAGA